AAAAAGGCGCAGAUAAGAGAGUUCGCUCUCUUCUCUCUUCCAGUGGCUGAAGACGACAGACAACAACCUGGCACUAUGCUUUUCCUAGAAGCUUAUAAGUGCUAAGCCAUGGCUGGACCAGCUGGAUCACGAAGCCAUGCACUUUGCAAGCUCAUCAGGAAAACGACUGAUCUGUUCCGCCAGAGAACGUGCCCACGUGGACAUGGCUUAAAGACAACUGUUGUAUUGGGCCAGAAAAUCACCUCGGAGCCUGUGAGGAGGGAGCGAGCUUUUCCAGACUACCAGGGAUACACUGCAAAGGCUGCCUCUGGUGGACAUUAAACAAGAGCCCAUUUCUGGGGGGGGAGUUGCUUCUGCUUCAAGACAUUCUCAGUAAACCUCUCCAGAAGAUAUGGAGGAAGUAGUAUAGAUUCGCUCGUGACACAGUCAGGGAAGUUUAUGACCAGUAGGGUUACCUGAGUAACCCUAAAAAAAGCAGAUCCUCAGAGACCAUUUCGGAAGUUCAAUGUCUGUGGACAGAGUGAGGGAGAAAAAGAUGACUGUCAGGAGCUAAUUGCUCCAGAUGUACU